CGUGAGCGCCGUGCUGAUGAGCGAAUGGAAUCCGCGGCGCGACACGUUAAAUGACGUCCUUCGCACCGCUUGACAAUAGUUCUAGCGGCCCAAUCACGGGAGAGAACGCUGAGCGUUACAAC
rfam:Corynebacterium sp. ATCC 6931, complete genome.